GAUGAAGAACGUAGCGAAAUGCGAUAAGUAACGCGAAUUGCAGAAUUCAGUGAAUCAUCGAAUCUUUGAACGCACAUUGCGCCCGCCAGUAUUCUGGCGGGCAUGCCUGUCUGAGCGUCGUUUCGACCCUCGCGCCCGGCUUCUGUCGGGGGCGGUGUUGGGGAUCGGCCACACCCUUCAGUGGGAGGCCGGCCCCUAAAUUCAGUGGCGACCACGCUGUAGCCUCCCCUGCGUAGUACUAAAACCACCUCGCAGGCGGAGAGCGGUGCGGCCCGCCGUAAAACCCCCCAACUUUUACAAGGUCGACCUCAGAUCAGGUAGGAAUACCCGCUGAACUUAAGCAUAUCAAUAAGCGGAGGA
rnacentral:misc_RNA from 1 species